rnacentral:rRNA from 1 species
UGCAAGUCGAACGAAGUAGCAAUACUUAGUGGCAGACGGGUGAGUAACAUGUAGGAAUCUACCCUUUGGCCUGGAAUAACACGAGGAAACUUGUGCUAAUACCAGAUAAGUCUUUACGGAGAAAGCUUUAUGCACCAUUGGAUGAGCCUGCACUUGAUUAGUUUGUUGGUGGGGUAAUGGCCUACCAAGACUGUGAUCAAUAGCUGAUUUGAGAGGAUGAUCAGCCACAUUGGGACUGAGACACGGCCCAAACUCCUACGGGAGGCAGCAGUGGGGAAUCUUGCACAAUGGAGGAAACUCUGAUGCAGCGAUGCCGCGUGAGUGAAGAAGGCCCUUGGGUUGUAAAGCUCUUUCGUCGGGGAAGAAAAUGACUGUACCCGAAUAAGAAGGUCCGGCUAACUUCGUGCCAGCAGCCGCGGUAAUACGAAGGGACCUAGCGUAGUUCGGAAUUACUGGGCUUAAAGAGUUCGUAGGUGGUUGAAAAAGUUGGUGGUGAAAUCCCAGAGCUUAACUCUGGAACUGCCAUCAAAACUUUUCAGCUAGAGUAUGAUAGAGGAAAGCAGAAUUUCUAGUGUAGAGGUGAAAUUCGUAGAUAUUAGAAAGAAUACCAAUUGCGAAGGCAGCUUUCUGGAUCAUUACUGACACUGAGGAACGAAAGCAUGGGUAGCGAAGAGGAUUAGAUACCCUCGUAGUCCAUGCCGUAAACGAUGUGUGUUAGACGUUGGAAAUUUAUUUUCAGUGUCGCAGCGAAAGCGAUAAACACACCGCCUGGGGAGUACGACCGCAAGGUUAAAACUCAAAUGAAUUGACGGGGACCCGCGCAAGUAGUGGAGCAUGUGGUUUAAUUCGAAGAUACGCGCAGAACCUUACCAACACUUGACAUGUUCGUCGCGACUUUAAGAGAUUAAAGUUUUCGGUUCGGCCGGACGAAACACAGG